AUUACAUAAUACCAGUUUAUUCUUGCGAUAUCUCUUAAAUUCUUUAAGAAAUUUCGAUUUUCUAAAACAAUUUAGUAGAUAUUUUGAUUCUAGAAAAUAUUACCGAUAUUCACUGAGAAAUUAAUACAAAAUGUCUGAUAACUCUGAAGAUAAGAAAUUGACAAUUGCCAUAAAAAUCCAAAAACGAGACGAGGAAAGAAAAGCCGAAGUCACUCGUCGAAAGGAUGAGAUUUUGUCUAAAAAGCCGGAAAAUGAAAAGAUUGACGUAUUCGAUUCUAAUUUCCAGCUUUUAAAGGUAGAGAUUGAAGAAAAAUUGGCAUUGACAGUUGAACCAAGUGAUGCUAAAGAACAUAUUGAUGAUAUCCUUCAGAGUAUUCGAAAAGCGCAGAAACUCUUAACAGAUUCAAUAAAAUUUGUUCCUCCUGUUAGAAUUGCUUUCAUACAGAAUUUAAUCAAUAAAUUUGAAAGAAACUUGUUAGUUAAGGAGGAGACUUUAAAGCCAAAGAAGAAGUUUGCGUUUAAAAAAGCUAAAAAAGUCCAAGGGCCUAUUCAAUCCACAAUGAAAAUAGCCAAGAGCGAAGAAACAAGGGACGAAACGAAAAAUUUCGGUUUUUCUAUAGAAGGGAAAAUGGACGAAAACAUUACUAUUGAAGAGAAUCAAACUAACCAAAAAGAUAUCCUUAUAUCAAAUAUGAACAAUUGUACUAUAAGAAUUAUUGGUAGUCCUGGCACAUUACAUAUGGUCAAUAUCGAUAAUUGCACUAUUCUUUCUGGCCCUUCUUCAACGUCUGUCUUUAUUGAAUUAUCGAAAAAUAGUCGAUUCGUAAUGGCAGGACAACAAUUUCGUAUUCACAAAACCGAGUCGUCAGAUUUCUACAUUCACGUUACAAGUCGAGCCAUAAUAGAAGAUUGUAAUAGUGUUAGAUUUGCUCCAUAUGUCUUUAAUUACGAAAAACUAGAUGAACAUUACAAAUUAUCUGGCUUAGAUAAAAGUGUUAAUAAUUGGGAACUUGUAAACGAUUUUAAUUGGUUAACUACAACGAAGAAAUCACCAAAUUGGGAUAUAAUACCUGAAGCGGAUAGGCAAACCUUUAUAUAGCAUGAAAGAUUUUAUUUUUAUUUUGAAAUGAAUAGAUUUCUAACAUUGAAACUUGUCUCUAUUCCAUAAAUAACUAAAUAAGAAAUACUAGAAAAAGGAGAGCAUUCUUGUAGAAAGAGAUAGAAUACUUUAAAUAGUAUUGUACUAUGUUAAACUAGGAUUCUAAGAAUACUAAUAAAAAGGAAAGAAAAAUAUCUUACUUCUUUCAAUUAGCAACGCAAAUAUUACAAUUCUAUUUCUCAAAAUAUUUAGAUAGUAGAGAAUGAAGUGUUAAGGGAAACUUUUGCAUUUCUUCUUAGCGCUAUAGAAUGAAAGCUAAUCUAACGUUAAUAAACUUUACAGGUACACGUAGUUAAUUACUAAAUAAGUGAAUAGUAAAAAUAAUAAGACAUUUUUGUGAUGUUCUAAAGCCUUAUUUACAAUUGGAAGCUGUUUGGUAUGUUAUCAAUGCGAUAAACGAUGGCAUUAUGACUGCGUUACUUCAGACUAUUUGGUUACUUGUCCGUCUUUUGAGGGAAAGGCGGCAUGUAUGUCGAGAGCACAAAUUUAUGUUAAAAAUAGGCGUCUCUACUGGAAAGAGUGUUCCUCUAUGGAUGCUUGUCUUUCGAUAGAAAAGGAUUAUAAUAAAUCUAAAUCAUGUUCUAAAGAUGACGGAUCUAUGUGCAUUCAUUGUUGUAAUACAAACGCUUGUAAUAAAGUUGAUCCGAUUGAAGUAUAUGAAAAAAACAAUGGCGAUUAUUCUCAUCUAAAUGUUUUAGUGUCAACUUGGCCUGUUUUUUUGACAGGUUUAAUAAAAUGAAAUUGAGUCUUGUUUUUUGUUGGUAAUACGUUAAAUUUGUUUAUUUCAAAGGACUGUCGGGAUUGAAUUGAUCAUAUAUAUAUUAAUAUUUGAUGUAUAUAAAAAAUGUAUGAAUCUUUAUAUAAAUGAAUU
rnacentral:misc_RNA from 1 species